GAUGAACGCUAGCUACAGGCUUAACACAUGCAAGUCGCGGGGCAGCAUGGGGGUUGCUUGCAAUCCCCGAUGGCGACCGGCGCACGGGUGAGUAACGCGUAUCCAACCUGCCCUUCACCACGGGCUAACCCGGCGAAAGUCGGACUAAUACCGUAUGUUGUCCAUUGACGGCAUCCGAUUUGGACGAAAGGUUUGGCGGUGAAGGAGGGGGAUGCGUCCGAUUAGCUGGACGGCGGGGUGACGGCCCACCGUGGCGACGAUCGGUAGGGGUUCUGAGAGGAAGGUCCCCCACACUGGAACUGAGACACGGUCCAGACUCCUACGGGAGGCAGCAGUGAGGAAUAUUGGUCAAUGGGCGUAAGCCUGAACCAGCCAAGUAGCGUGCAGGAUGACGGCCCUAUGGGUUGUAAACUGCUUUUAUGCGGGGAUAAAGUGGCCCACGUGUGGGUUUUUGAAGGUACCGCAUGAAUAAGGACCGGCUAAUUCCGUG
rnacentral:rRNA from 1 species